GACGAACGCUGGCGGCGUGCCUAAUACAUGCAAGUCGAACGCAGUGGGGACGGGUUCGUAACACGUGGGUAACCUCCCAUCAGAGGGGAUAACACUUGGAAACAGGUGCUAAACCGAUACUGAUGGAUGGACCCGCGGUGCAUUAGCUAGUUGGUGAGGUAACGGCUCACCAAGGCUACGAUGCGUAGCCGACCGGAGAGGUGGAUCAGCCACACUGGGACUGAGACACGGACCAGACUCCUACGGGAGGCAGCAGUGGGGAAUAUUCGACAAUGGACGAAAGCCUGACCGAGCAACGCCGCUUGAGUGAAGAAGGUUUUCGGAUCGUAAAACUCUGUUGUUAGAGAAGCGGUAUCUACAGAGAAAGCAACGGCUAACUCCGUGCCAGCAGCCGCGGUAAUAC
rnacentral:rRNA from 1 species